UACGAAGGGGACUAGCGUUGUUCGGAUUUACUGGGCGUAAAGCGCGCGUAGGCGGAUCGCUAAGUCAGGGGUGAAAUCCCAGGGCUCAACCCCUGGAACUGCCUUUGAUACUGACGAUCUGGAGAUCGGGAGAGGUUGGUGGAAUUCCGAGUGUAGAGGUGAAAAUUCGUAGAUAUUCGCAAGAACACCAGUGGCGAAGGCGGCUUACUGGACCGGUUCUGACGCUGAGGCGCGAAAGCGUGGGGAGCAAACAGG
rnacentral:rRNA from 1 species